UCAGAAUGAACGCUGGCGGCGCGCCUAAUACAUGCAAGUCGAGCGAGAAGACGUAGCAAUACGUUUGUAAAGCGGCGAACGGGUGAGGAAUACAUGGGUAACCUACCCUCGAGUGGGGAAUAACUAGCCGAAAGGUUAGCUAAUACCGCGUACGCUCCUUGGACUUCGGUUCAGGGAGGAAAGCGAUACCGUGGGUAUCGCGCUCUUGGUUGGGCUCAUGUCCUAUCAGCUUGUUGGUGAGGUAACGGCUCACCAAGGCUUCGACGGGUAGCUGGUCUGAGAGGACGAUCAGCCACACUGGCACUGCGACACGGGCCAGACUCCUACGGGAGGCAGCAGUAAGGAAUAUUGCGCAAUGGGCGAAAGCCUGACGCAGCGACGCCGCGUGGGGGAUGAAGGUCUUCGGAUUGUAAACCCCUUUCGGGAGGGAAGAUGGAACGAGCAAUCGUUCGGACGGUACCUCCAGAAGCAGCCACGGCUAACUUCGUGCCAGCAGCCGCGGUAAUACGAAGGUGGCAAGCGUUAUUCGGAUUUACUGGGCGUACAGGGAGCGUAGGCGGUUCGGUAAGCCCUUUGUGAAAUCUUCAGGCUUAACCUGGAAAAGUCGGAGGGGACUGCUGGGCUAGAGGACGGGGGAGGAGCGCGGAAUUCCCGGUGUAGCGGUGAAAUGCGUAGAGAUCGGGAGGAAGGCCGGUGGCGAAGGCGGCGCUCUGGAACGUUUCUGACGCUGAGGCUCGAAAGCGUGGGGAGCAAACAGGAUUAGAUACCCUGGUAGUCCACGCCUUAAACUAUGAAUACUAAGUGUCGGCGGGUUACCGCCGGUGCCGCAGCUAACGCAUUAAGUAUUCCGCCUGGGAAGUACGGCCGCAAGGUUGAAACUCAAGGAA
rnacentral:rRNA from 1 species